rnacentral:tRNA from 1 species
AAUAAAAUGCCUGACAAUAGGAUCAUUUUGAUAGAAUGAAUAAUGUAAGUUAAAUACUUUUAUUG